GAUGAACGCUAGCGGCGUGCCUAAUGCAUGCAAGUCGAACGGUAACUUGGGGACCUAGUCCCCAGGUGAGAGUGGCGGACGGGUGCGUAACACGUUGGUGACCUACCCUGGAGAGGGGGACAACCGGUGGAAACGCCGGCUAAAACCCCGGAUGUCACCCUGGUUAGAGAGGGGUGACUGAAACAGCCUGCCGGAAACGGCAGGCGCGUGCUCCAGGAGGGGCCUGCGGCCCAUCAGCUAGUUGGUAGGGUAACGGCCUACCAAGGCAAAGACGGGUAGGGGGCGUGAGAGCGCGACCCCCCACACUGGUACUGAAACACGGACCAGAUACCUGCGGGUAGCAGCAGCAAGGAAUAUUGCGCAAUGGACGGAAGUCUGACGCAGCAACGCCGCGUGGAGGACGAAGGCCUUCGGGUUGUAAUCUCCUUUUCUGGGGGAAGAACAGGCUAUCUACGGAUAGCCCAUGACGGUACCCCAGGAAGAAGGCCCGGCUAACUACGUGCCAGCAGCCGCGGUAAAACGUAGGGGUCGAGCGUUAUCCGGAAUUACUGGGCGUAAAGCGCGUGCAGGCGGUUCUGAAAGUCGGACGUGAAAGCUCCCGGCCCAACUGGGAGAGGCCGUUCGAAACUAUGGGACUAGAGGAUGGUAGAGGCAAGUGGAAUUCCCGGUGUAGUGGUGAAAUGCGUAGAUAUCGGGAGGAACACCAGCGGCGAAAGCGGCUUGCUGGGCCAUCACUGACGCUCAGACGCGAAAGCCAGGGGAGAGAACGGGAUUAGAAACCCCGGUAUUCCUGGCUGUAAACGAUGUCAACU
rnacentral:rRNA from 1 species